CCUACGGGAGGCAGCAGUAGGGAAUAUUGCUCAAUGGGGGAAACCCUGAAGCAGCAACGCCGCGUGGAGGAUGAAGGUUUUCGGAUUGUAAACUCCUUUUCUUAGGGACGAAGCAAGUGACGGUACCUGAGGAAUAAGCCACGGCUAACUACGUGCCAGCAGCCGCGGUAAUACGUAGGUGGCAAGCGUUAUCCGGAUUUACUGGGUGUAAAGGGCGUGUAGGCGGGACUGCAAGUCAGAUGUGAAAACCACGGGCUCAACCUGUGGCCUGCAUUUGAAACUGUAGUUCUUGAGUACUGGAGAGGCAGACGGAAUUCCUAGUGUAGCGGUGAAAUGCGUAGAUAUCACGCAGAACCCCGAUUGCGAAGGCAGCCUUCCGGCGCCCUACUGACGCUGAGGCACGAAAGUGCGGGGAUCGAACAGGAUUAGAUACCCGAGUAGUC
rnacentral:rRNA from 1 species